rnacentral:rRNA from 1 species
CCUACGGGAGGCAGCAGUGGGGAAUAUUGGACAAUGGGGGAAACCCUGAUCCAGCGACGCCGCGUGAGUGAAGAAGUAUUUCGGUACGUAAAGCUCUAUCAGCAGGAAAGAAAAUGACGGUACCUGACUAAGAAGCCCCGGCUAACUACGUGCCAGCAGCCGCGGUAAUACGUAGGGGGCAAGCGUUAUCCGGAUUUACUGGGUGUAAAGGGAGCGUAGACGGCAGCGCAAGUCUGGAGUGAAAAGCCGGGGCCCAACCCCGGAACUGCUCUGGAAACUGUGAAGCUGGAGUGCAGGAGAGGUAAGCGGAAUUCCUGGUGUAGCGGUGAAAUCCGUAGAUAUUAGAAGGAACACCAAUAGCGUAGGCAGGUUACUGGGACGGUUCUGACACUAAGGCACGAAAGCGUAGGGAGCAAACGGGAUUAGAUACCCUUGUAGUC